rnacentral:rRNA from 1 species
CUUAAGCAUAUCAAUAAGCGGAGGAAAAGGAAACCACCGGGAUUGCCCCAGUAACGGCGAGUGAAGCGGCAAUAGCUCAAAUUUGAAAUCUGGCCCUUUCAGGGUCCGAGUUGUAAUUUGCAGAGGGCGCUUUGGUGUCGGCAGCAGCCUAAGUUCCUUGGAACAGGUCAUCAUAGAGGGUGAGAAUCCCGUAUGUGGCUGCUUGUCUUCACCGUGUAAAGCCCCUUCGAUGAGUCGAGUUGUUUGGGAAUGCAGCUCUAAAUGGGAGGUAAAUUUCUUCUAAAGCUAAAUAUUGGCCAGAGACCGAUAGCGCACAAGUAGAGUGAUCGAAAGAUGAAAAGCACUUUGGAAAGAGAGUCAAAAAGCACGUGAAAUUGUUGAAAGGGAAGCGCUUGCAGCCAGACGUGCCCGUAGUUGCUCAUCCGGGGUUCUCCCCGGUGCACUCUUCUAUGGGCAGGCCAGCAUCAGUUCGGGCGGUUGGAGAAAGACCUGUGUCACGUAGCUCUCUUCGGGGAGUGUUAUAGGGCAGGUGGAAUGCAACCAGCCUGAACUGAGGUCCGCGCAUCUGCUAGGAUGCUGGCGUAAUGGCUGUAAGCGGCCCGUCUUGAAACACGGACCAAGGAGUCUAACAUCUAUGCGAGUGUUUGGGUGUCAAGCCCGAGCGCGUAAUGAAAGUGAACGGAGGUGGGAACCCCUCGGGGUGCACCAUCGACCGAUCCUGAUGUCUUCGGAUGGAUUUGAGUAAGAGCAUAGCUGUUGGGACCCGAAAGAUGGUGAACUAUGCCUGAAUAGGGUGAAGCCAGAGGAAACUCUGGUGGAGGCUCGCAGCGGUUCUGACGUGCAAAUCGAUCGUCAAAUUUGGGCAUAGGGGCGAAAGACUAAUCGAACUAUCUAGUAGCUGGUUCCUGCGAGAUUUUCCCUCAGGAAAAGG